GAUGAACGCUGGCGGCGUGCCUAAUACAUGCAAGUCGAGCGAACGGACGAGAAGCUUGCUUCUCUGAUGUUAGCGGCGGACGGGUGAGUAACACGUGGAUAACCUACCUAUAAGACUGGGGUAACUUCGGGAAACCGGAGCUAAUACCGGAUAAUAUUUUGAACCGCAUGGUUCAAAAGUGAAAGACGGUCUUGCUGUCACUUAUAGAUGGAUCCGCGCUGCAUUAGCUAGUUGGUAAGGUAACGGCUUACCAAGGCGACGAUGCAUAGCCGACCUGAGAGGGGGGUAGGCCACACGGGAAGUGAGACACGGUCCAGGCUACUAAGGGAGGGAGCAGUAGGGAAUCUGACGCAAUGGGCGAAAGCCUGACGGAGCGACGGCGCGUGAGUGAUGAAGGUCUUCGGUUCGUAAAACUCUGUUAUUAGGGAAGAACAGAUGUGUAAGUAACUGUGCACAUCUUGACGGUACCUAAUCAGAAAGCCACGGCUAACUACGUG
rnacentral:rRNA from 1 species